rnacentral:rRNA from 1 species
ACUCCUACGGAAGGCAGCAGUGGGGAAUAUUGGACAAUGGGCGCAAGCCUGAUCCAGCCAUGCCGCGUGAGUGAUGAAGGCCCUAGGGUUGUAAAGCUCUUUUGUGCGGGAAGAUAAUGACGGUACCGCAAGAAUAAGCCCCGGCUAACUUCGUGCCAGCAGCCGCGGUAAU